AAGCGUGCGCAGGCGGUUAUGUAAGACAGAUGUGAAAUACCCCGGGCUCAACCUGGGAACUGCAUUUGUGACUGCAUGGCUAGAGUACGGUAGAGGGGGAUGGAAUUCCGCGUGUAGCAGUGAAAUGCGUAGAUAUGCGGAGGAACACCGAUGGCGAAGGCAAUCCCCUGGACCUGUACUGACGCUCAUGCACGAAAGCGUGGGGAGCAAACAGGAUUAGAUACCCGUGU
rnacentral:rRNA from 1 species